GAAACAGAUCAACGGCACUGGUCUGACGGCGUUUCAAACGGGACCGAACUUUUAAGUGCCGGGAUUCAGUGCAUCCAGCGUUUAAGGGGCUCUGCAUCUCAUGUCAUCAGAUAUGGUGUUUCCGAGGUGCACAGCUGAGAUAUUAACGUGGAACUUAUCGUACCUAUACUUACUGGACAAAGAAGAUACGCAAGUCUGCUGACUGACAAGCGAGACUCUUGGAAUCGCAUGGAGCGGUUCAGCCUACGGCCGGCGAAGGGAGGAGACGGACCCCUGAUGACCUCGGUGGCAGCGCGGACGCCUUCAACGCCCACUUCGCCGCCUCAUAGUACGCGUACCAACCGUGUCACUCUGCGGAGAACGCCGUGCUCGACGCCGUCAUACGGCUCUCAAGGGUCGUCGACAACGAUCAUGUCGCGUCGGCCACGACGAUCGACCUCAGCAAAACCUUCGACAGAGUCGACUAUGGCGUCCUCCUGACCUGGUGACCGGUAUCGCCACUGCGACCACAUCACGUCUGCCUGAGAAACACUGGGAUGGUUCAGCGUGGCGGAGAUAACGCGCCGAAGCAACCGUGUAAACAUGUACCGAACACAUUGCAUGUUAACAGGGCGCCCGCCGCUCUGCGCUCGCUGUUCUAUACGUGCGCGGAGGACUCCCAGCGUACUACCCGGGCCGCGGACCGUGGGAGCGGUUCCUUGUACCUGGAUCGCGUCAGAGUGACUGCCGCCACUCAGCGGCAUUUUCCGUACCGGGCGGCUGCCGUAAGAAACUGUUUACCCCAGCGACUGCCUACGCUCUAUCACGGCGCGCCUUCCUGUCUGUUUAAAGGCUCUGACCUCGUGACUGAGAAGUACGAUCGUGUGUGCGUGUGUGCUUAUGCCGAACUUAGAAAUGCGUUUCUGGCAUACUUUUGUGUUUUGGCGUUCUUGUAUAAACCCGACUGGGUGCAGAAUGGUCACCGCGUGGAAGCCCCCAAUAUAAACAAAC